rnacentral:rRNA from 1 species
UACGGAGGGGACUAGCGUUGUUCGGAAUUACUGGGCGUAAAGCGCGCGCAGGCGGUCUUCCAAGUCAGUGGUGAAAGCCCGGAGCUCAACUCCGGAACUGCCAUUGAAACUGUAAGACUUGAGGACGAGAGAGGUGAGUGGAAUUCCCAGUGUAGAGGUGAAAUUCGUAGAUAUUGGGAAGAACACCGGUGGCGAAGGCGGCUCACUGGCUCGUAUCUGACGCUCAGGCGCGACAGCGUGGGGAUCAAACAGG